GUGAUUAAUACCGGAUACUCUUUCUUGUUAUAAGACAAGUCGGGAAAGUUUUCCGCUAAGGGAUCAGUCUAUGUUCCAUCAGCUUGUUGGUGAGGUAAUGUCUCACAAAGGCUAUGACGGAUAUCUGGUUUGAGAGGAUGAUCAGACACACUGGAACUGAGACACGGUCCAGACUCCUACGGGAGGCAGCAGUGAGGAAUAUUGCACAAUGGAGGAAACUCUGAUGCAGCAACGCCGCGUGGAGGAUGACGCAUUUCGGUGUGUAAGCUCCUUUUAUUAGGGAAGAUAAUGACGGUACCUAAUGAAUAAGCACCGGCUAACUCCGUGCCAGCAGCCGCGGUAAUACGGAGGGUGCGAGCGUUACUCGGAAUCACUGGGCGUAAAGGGUGCGUAGGCUGGCUUUUAAGUCAGAUGUGAAAUCCAAUGGCUCAACCAUUGAACUGCAUUUGAAACUGAAAGCCUAGAGUUCAGAAGGGGCAGAUGGAAUUAGUGGUGUAGGGGUAAAAUCCGUAGAUAUCACUAGGAAUAUCAAAAGCGAAGGCGAUCUGCUGGGAUGAUA
rnacentral:rRNA from 1 species